rnacentral:lncRNA from 1 species
AUUUAGUUCAAGAACUGUCUUCUCUGGAAAACUUUCUUUUUUUUUUUUUUUUUUCCUGAGACGGAGUCUCGCUCUGUCUCGCCCCGGCUAGAGUGCAGUGGCGCAUUCUCGGCUCACUGCAAGCUCCGCCUCCUGGGUUCACGCCAUUCUCCUGCCUCAGCCUCUCCGAGUAGCUGCGUCUGCAGGCGCCCGCCACCACGCCCGGCUAAUUUUUUUUUUUUUUUUUUUUUUUUUUUGGAUUUUUAGUAGAGAAGGGGUUUCACCGUGGUCUCAAUCUCCUGACCUCGUGAUCUGCCCGCCUCGGCCUCCCAAAGUGCUGGGAUUACAAGCGUGACCCACCGCGCCCCGCCUGGAAAACUUUCAGUGAUCACCCAAGAUGUUCCCUGGGAAGAGCUUCUCAGCAUGAAAACUAAUUGUUGCCUCUCCACAAACAUGAACAAACUCCUGUCUAUCUUAGUAGGGUUACUAGAUUCUUGCCUGCAGCCUGAGUUCUUGAAAAGAACAACAUGGAGAUGAAAAGACAGUCGUGCUUUGUCACCCAAGCUGGAGUGCUGUAGCCCCAUUUGAGCUCACUGCAACCUCUGCCUCCCAGAUCCAAACGAAUCUCAUGCCUCAGCCACACAAAAGUAGCUGGGAUUACAGAUGGCGUCUGCCUUUGUUGCCCAGGCUGGAGUGCAGUGGUGCCAUUUCGGCUCACUGCAACCUCUGCCUCCAGGGUUCAAGGGAUUCUUCUGCCUUAGCCUCCUGAUUAUGACUUUUUUAAAGUUAUAGAAUACACUUAAGAACAACUGGAAGAAAUUUGAAUAUGUACCUCUAUUUGAUGUUACUAAGGAAUUGUUGUUAACUCCUUACAUAUGAUAAUGGAAUAGUAUGGCUGUAAAUGAACAUGUCCUCAUUCUUUAGGAGAUACAUCCUGAAGCAUCUUGAUGUCUUUCAUUGAUUUUCACAUAGUUUAUUUGAAAAAUACAAACACAUUUAUAGCUACAUUAAGCAAAUGUGGCAAAAGUUAACAGUUAUUGAAUUUAGAUGUUGGGCAUAUGGAUGUUCAUUGUUCAUUUAAACAUUUCAGUAUUUACAAAUGUAUAAUAUAAAUUUGGAAACAAAAGAAAAAUGACAUAUGUGUUUUGUGUGUGUGAUUCUAUUUGUGUAUAUGUAUGUGAGUUAAUCUCCAGAAAUUCAAUAAAAAUCUUUGUCUCAGAAU